CUGGUCAGGGCUGAGUCUAGGUGCAAACCAAACCUUGCUGAGUGCUGGAGACCUGCUGGAAUCCACAGGAGUAAGCUUGCUUCCAAAUGACCAACUGUACAACUUGAUGCUGUCUAAUGGGACAUGAAACAGCCAAACUAAAGAACAAUUGGUCUUUCUUCAUUGUUC